CUGCCAUGAGUGUAUGAACCGUAUAAUUGUCAUAGGCAGUAUACUGCCGUAACCAGUAUGAAAUACCAUUAACAUAUGAACCAAAUGAAACUUUGAGCGUAUGAAUCAGUGAUAAGUACGAGGUGUUUGACUGCCAUGAACGUAACAUGGAUAGAAAGAACGUAAGACCAUGAACAUGCCAAGAAUAUAUGAACAGCAUAAAUGCCAAGUUUGUGGACCGUGUAAGCCACCAGCGUGUGAGAGAAUAACCAUGAGGUGAACAGCAUAAACGAGUCUGCACAGUAUAAAUGCUGUGAAUAUAUAAUCACCCAUCCGGACCACACCCUCCAUGCUAUUCCAUACGGACAAUACCUUAGAGCCAAACGGAUUUGUUCCACGGACCAUUCCUUCCAGAAGCAGGCGGAAGACCUUUGGAAUUUACAUUGGCCUCACCACACGACCCCUCAAGGUCCGGAUAAGGGAACAUGUCUGAGAUAUUAAAGCUGCAACCAAUGUGACCAACUUAGAAGAACUCAAACCUGUCCCCAGACACUUUAAGCAAAGCCAUAAUUGUGAUCCAUCAAUCUUCAAGCACCCUUUGGAUUUCAAAUGUGUAUUAAUAAAUGCUGUUCCUCGAUAUUACAUGGUUUUCUGGAUUGCCGUACUUCGGGAUUUUCAAGUUUUCAAUCCCCAAUACAACAUAUACUAUAAACAUGCGUUUCUG